GAUUCCCGGGGUUGGUGGCAGCGGCGGUAGCAGCAAUGGACUUUCUCCUGGGGAACCCGUUCAGCUCUCCAGUGGGACAGCGCAUCGAGAAAGCCACAGAUGGCUCCCUGCAGAGCGAGGACUGGGCCCUCAACAUGGAGAUCUGCGACAUCAUCAACGAGACGGAGGAAGGUCCCAAAGAUGCCCUCCGAGCAGUAAAGAAGAGAAUCGUGGGGAAUAAGAACUUCCACGAGGUGAUGCUGGCUCUCACAGUGCUCGACGGCACCUCUCGGCCCUCCAGGUCUUAGAAACCUGUGUCAAGAACUGCGGGCACCGCUUCCACGUGCUGGUGGCCAGCCAGGACUUCGUGGAGAGUGUGCUGGUGAGGACCAUCCUGCCCAAGAACAACCCACCCACCAUCGUGCAUGACAAAGUGCUCAACCUCAUCCAGUCCUGGGCUGACGCGUUCCGCAGCUCGCCCGAUCUGACAGGUGUGGUCACCAUCUAUGAGGACCUGCGGAGGAAAGGCCUGGAGUUCCCCAUGACUGACCUGGACAUGCUGUCACCCAUCCACACACCCCAGAGGACCGUGUUCAACUCAGAGACACAAUCAGGACAGGAUUCUGUGGGCACUGACUCCAGCCAGCAAGAGGACUCUGGCCAGCAUGCUGCCCCUCUGCCCGCCCCGCCCAUACUCUCCGGUGACACGCCCAUAGCACCAACCCCGGAACAGAUUGGGAAGCUGCGCAGUGAGCUGGAGAUGGUGAGUGGGAACGUGAGGGUGAUGUCGGAGAUGCUGACGGAGCUGGUGCCCACCCAGGCCGAGCCCGCAGACCUGGAGCUGCUGCAGGAGCUCAACCGCACGUGCCGAGCCAUGCAGCAGCGGGUCCUGGAGCUCAUCCCUCAGAUCGCCAAUGAGCAGCUGACAGAGGAGCUGCUCAUCGUCAAUGACAAUCUCAACAAUGUGUUCCUGCGCCAUGAACGGUUUGAACGGUUCCGAACAGGCCAGACCACCAAGGCCCCAAGUGAGGCCGAGCCGGCAGCUGACCUGAUCGACAUGGGCCCUGACCCAGCAGCCACCGGCAACCUCUCAUCCCAGCUGGCAGGAAUGAACCUGGGCUCCAGCAGUGUGAGAGCUGGCCUGCAGUCUCUGGAGGCCUCUGGUCGACUGGAAGAUGAGUUUGACAUGUUUGCGCUGACACGGGGCAGCUCACUGGCUGACCAACGGAAAGAGGUAAAAUACGAAGCCCCCCAAGCAACAGACGGCCUGGCUGGAGCCCUGGACGCCCGGCAGCAGAGCACUGGCGCGAUCCCAGUCACCCAGGCCUGCCUCAUGGAGGACAUCGAGCAGUGGCUGUCCACUGACGUGGGUAAUGAUGCGGAAGAGCCUAAGGGGGUCACCAGCGAAGAAUUUGACAAAUUCCUGGAAGAACGGGCCAAAGCCGCGGACCGAUUGCCCAACCUCUCCAGCCCCUCAGCUGAGGGGCCCCCGGGUCCCCCAUCUGGCCCAGCGCCCCGGAAGAAGACCCAGGAGAAAGAUGAUGACAUGCUGUUUGCCUUAUGAGUGUGGGGUCUGGCACCCUGCAGCCCAGGUCCCCACUGCUCUCACACCCUUAGGCUGGGACCUCCCUCCCUCCUCUGGUGUUAAGGCUGCUUUGGGGGUGGCUUGUUACCCCCUUUUCCUCCUCUUUGAAGACGGAGCUGCCCCAGCUGUGGCUGGGGGUGUGGAGGCAGUGGGAUGAACUGGGGGACAGGUCUGCGCUGCAGUGGGAUCUGGCUGCUCUGCCUCCUUUCCCACCCCAGCUGACCAUGAGACUUUGCUGAGAAGUGGAGGCCCCAGGACAGGCUGGCUGGCUGGCUGGCUGCUUGACCCAGUGUGACUCUCCUUCACUGAGUGAUACCCUGCUCCGGGCCCAUGCCCCAAGGAGCCCUUCAGAGCCCACACUGCCAGUCGAGGCCUGGCUGGAGGCUGGCCACAGUGGAAAUUCUGCCGAGCCUCUUGUCCCUUCCCUGCUCUGCUGCAUGGGGCCCCAUGGCUUUGGCUGGCCACUGAGGGUAGGGUGUGGAGGUGUGGAGGCCCCCUGAGGAGCUGCGGCGGCCCAGGUACGAAGCUGCAACUCUGCGCGCAGUGGGCGAGAUCUCAUCAGCCCCAGGCUGCAGGUGAGGCUUCAGGGGAUGCUGGGGCCCCACUGCCCCUCCGCUGCCUUGCCCUCCAUCCUUCCUCUGUUCCUUCUGGCCGGGCACCACAGCACUGGGGCUCACCUCUUGGUUGAUCCUCUUGUACUGGGAGAGGUGCCUUUUGUAUCCCCAAUUAAAGGUAGAAAACCA